rnacentral:tRNA from 1 species
GGGGUUGUGGCUCAGAGGUAAAGUGCUCACUUAGCAUGUGUGAGGCACUGGGUUCAAUUCUCAGCACCACA